CAUAGUGGAGAGAAGCCAUUUUGCUGUGAUAUAUGUAAUAAGGCAUUCAGUCAGCAGAGCACUCUGAAGACACAUCGGAGCACACAUAGUGGAGAGAAGCUGUUUUGCUGUGAUGUAUGUAAAAAGUCAUUCAGUGAGCAGAAUCAUCUGAAGAGACAUCAGCGCAUACAUGUUGAUGUGUGCAGUAAAUCAUAGAGCAGUAGAAAUGGAUGUAGACUAAAGGAACAUUAUGUGACUUGUAGCAUGCCACAGUUUUCAUGUUGUAAGUAAGACAGUUUUGCUGUGUGUGGCAUGCUUCACUUUUGUAGAAUGCUACAGUAUAUUGCGGUUUAUUGCUUUUGCUAACUUUUCAAACUGACGGGAAAUGAACUGAGUCCCAUGGUACGAAACAUCUGUGCAAAUGAGUUCCAUUUGAUUCUAAUUGUUGAAUGUGCUCAAUGCCCCCUCUUGUUGAGUGGAAAGAGACAUGACAUUGAAGAAAGCAGUCUUCUGGGAUUUGGCACCGUGUAUAUGUGGUCCUCAAAUCUUACAGACAUGAUAUUCUCCUACACUUAUGAUGUUAAUUCAGCACUAGAAGCUAAUGAUUAGUAGAGUGUAGCACUGAAAUGGAUUGACAGCUUAUGCACAUAAUUCAGUGGCAUUGUAUGUUUUUUGCUGUACGUUAUCUGUGCUCUUCUGCCAUUACAUGUCAUUAAAUUCGUUGAUCAGUUAGUUACAGAUAGAUAUAUCACUUGGAUUGAGUAUAUUGAGAUAACUGUUAUGGAUUUGGUCAGAUGAAUACAAAGUAUGCUAUAUUGGACAUUGAAGACAAGAUAUAUUUUUGUGGGAUACUUGGUAUAUUGAUUAUAAAAAGAAAGUUAAAUAAAGGUUGGUUGAUUCUGCUUGUGGAGAAACGUAAUGGUACAGAGAAUUUAAUUUGGAAAGCUGAAGAAAGAUUUGCUGACAUCUUUUCAUUGUGAAUAUCAGAAGAGAAACAGCGGUCUGUCAUGAGAUCAGAAGAGAAAGUGGUUUGGCACUGAGGCACUCCUUUUUGCUUUAGGUCUCCUUUGCUUUAGAGGGAAAGAGUCAGCUGAAAAUUGUGAAGAACGCUUGCUUCAUUUUCAUAAGAUGUACCAUGCAUUCGUCCCUCAAUAACUUUGCAUCAGCAGAGUUCUUCCUCAUGUGUCACCACACAUUGGCUGUCGCUGCAUCACCAGAACUGAUCCUGCUCCAUGGUUCUGGAAUAUGUUCCAUUUUGUAUGUCUUCACCAUAUGAAGUAGUGCGCAGUGCAUGAAUGGAUUUUCAAGUUGCAGUUGUCCUCAGAAAAAUGUGAAGCAACUAAAGAAUAACCCAGAAAGAGUCAUUUGGUACAGCUGGUAUUGCCACCGAUAAUCAACUGGAGCGUUCGGAUGUGAGUAUAGAGAGCAACCGUUGCAUGAAUAUACUCAUCACAUCAUCAAAUUGUUUCAUGCCUGUAAUGUUCAUUGUUGAAUUGGAUGAUAAUGAAGUCUGGUUGUGCCAUGUGUGUACCUGUAUGUUGGUAAUUAAUGGAAUAUUGAGAUAAUGUGAUCACAGUACAGUCGAUAAAGGUCAGACUUGCUGGGGCACAGCAUUUAAUCAGCUCACAUCUGCUUUUGGCACAGAUAUUACUCGUAUAAACCGUGUGGAAAAGAAGGAUGUGGAGAUUGUGUCCAUUUCACUGUCAGUGUGCUCCAACUGUUUGCAUGUCAUGUGCUAACAUAGCCAAGAUGGGCCAGAGAAGCAUGGCUCUUCCUCCGCAACACUGGGGUUGAAUGGCAUUCAGCCUUCAAGUAAGAUAAGGGAAAAGAAAAGUUGUCCAUGUGCUUAAGUAAUUAAGCACCUUGCCAUGAAAACACGGAGCAGUGGAAGCAUAGCCCCACCAUUCUUCACUUCGGUGCUAGACAGAGAUGAGUGGUCAGGUUCACAUCCCUGGUUCCCUUUACCCCCAUUGGAAGAGACCCAGGUAGCAGUUGGAUAGGAGGCUGGGUGGGCCCCAGGACUGGUCUCUAUGAUGUAGAGACAAGAAAAAUCAUAACCCUACUUGGACUCAAAAUUUGAAUCCUUGGAUGUCCAGUCCAUAUAAGUCAUUAGUCCAGUAUAAUCUACUAAUUUGCUGCUGGUUUUCACCAGCAAAGUUGUUCUUGGUUUCAGGUGCCAUCAGGGCAUAUGGUUGAAGUUUUGUUCUUGGCAAGACCAUUCAUGUGUUUGGAAAUACACUCUCCCCCUCAAUGAGAGGAGGUGUUGGUCUGUCUGAGUAGGUGCCACAAUUGCUGCUCCAUAAUUUUGCAGUUACCCUCACUCACACAUCGUCUGGCCAUCACACUGAAGGCACACUUCAACUUGUUGAGCCAGUUUCUGAACAUCCACUGAAUAUGUAGGUUACUGUCUUCAAGGGUGUGAUAUUCUGGGUAGUUUGCCUGAAAAGGAGGCAGCAGGUUCCCAAGAAUAUCCAUACCUCUCCACCAAAGUUUGGUGACUUCCCACAGGAUCGUGGUCUUUAUAUUCACUGCUGUAAGAGCCUCAAAUCUCACUUCAUGCUAUUAUCUUGUGGGCUACUUUAUACUGGGAGAUAAUGCACAUAAGAUAACCUGCAUUUCAUUGUAUUGCAGUUUCUGUUUCAUGAAGCUCCAACACCCACCGCACUGCAUCACUCAGUGGUGGUCCAGGCGUCCUCAAGUCUCUAGAAGAAACUGGGAGUGGGGAAGGUGGUUAUGGCUGUGAGCAGUUUCUGUUUCAUGCAGCGCCAACACCCACCGCACUGCAUCACUCAGUGGUGGUCCAGACGUCAAGUCUCUAGAAGAAACUGGGAGUGGGGAAGGUGGUUAUGGCUGUGAGCAGUUUCUGUUUCAUGCAGCGCCAACACCCACCGCACUGCAUCACUCAAUGGUGGUCCAGGCGUCCUCAAGUCUUUAGAAGAAACUGGGAGGGGGAAGGUGGUUAGGGCUGUGAGCAGUUUCUGUUUCAUGCAGCGCCAACACCCACCGCACUGCAUCACUCAAUGCUGCUCCAGACGUCAAGUCUCUAGAAGAAACUGGGAGGGGGGGAAGGUGGUUAUGGCUGUGACCAUUUUGUUUUUAUUUUUAUUUCUCUCAACAAUGGUAUGCAGGGUAUAAACCUAACUAACAAAAAGUUUUUAAAACAACUUUUUGAAUCCACUGAUAUGUUGGGAUUUUGGACUU